UCCCUGGUGGCUCAGCCUGUAAAAACAUCUGCUUGCAAUGCAGGAGAUCCAGGUUUGAUCCCUGGGUGGGGAA
rnacentral:tRNA from 1 species